rnacentral:rRNA from 1 species
GUAGGUGGCAAGCGUUGUCCGGAAUUAUUGGGCGUAAAGCGCGCGCAGGGCGGUUCUUUAAGUCUGAUGUGAAAGCCCACGGCUCAACCGUGGAGGGUCAUUGGAAACUGGAGAACUUGAGUACAGAAGAGGAAAGCGGAAUUCCACGUGUAGCGGUGAAAUGCGUAGAGAUGUGGAGGAACACCAGUGGCGAAGGCGGCUUUCUGGUCUGUAACUGACGCUGAGGCGCGAAAGCGUGGGGAGCAAACAGGAUUAGAUACCCUGGUAGUCCACGCCGUAAACGAUGAGUGCUAAGUGUUAGGGGGUUUCCGCCCCUUAGUGCUGCAGCUAACGCAUUAAGCACCCCGCCUGGGGAGUACGGCCGCAAGGCUA